CUGGUUGAUCCCGCUGGAGACUACUGCUAUCAGGGUUCGGCUAAGCCAUGCGAGUCGAGAGGGGUUAAGCCCUCGGCGAACUGCUCAGUAACACGUAGCUAACUUACCCUAAAGUGGAGGAUAAACUUGGGAAACUGAGACGAAUACUCCAUAGACGAUUGAGGCUGGAAGGCGCUUUCGUUGAAAGAUUUAUCGCUUUAGGAUAGGGCUGCGGCCUAUCAGCCUGUUGUUGGGAUAAAAGCCCAACAAAGCUAUGACGGGUACGGGUCAUGAGAGUGAUUGCCCGGAGAUGGAUUCUGAGACAUGAAUCCAGGCCCUACGGGGCGCAGCAGGCGCGAAAACUUCUCAAUGGGCGCAAGCCUGAAGAGGGAACCUUGAGUGAUAUCGGCUAAGCUGGUAUCUUUUCUAUACUGUAAAUAGGUAGAGGAAUAAGUGGUGGGCAAGACGGUUGCCAGCCGCCGCGGUAAUAACCGCGCCACGAGUUGUAGUCACGAUUAUUGGGUCUAAAGCAUCCGUAGCUGGUUUGACAAGUCUUCGGUGAAAUCCGGCAGCAAACUGUCGGGCGUGCCGAAGAUACUAUCAGACUAGAGACUGGGAGAGGUCUGGAGUACUUCGGAGGUAGGGGUAAAAUCCUUUAAUCUCCGAGGGACUACCUGUGGCGAAGGCGCCAGACUAGAACAGAUCUGACAGUGAGGGAUGAAAGCUAGGGGAGCGAUCGGGAUUAGAUACCCCGGUAGUCCUAGCCGUAAACGAUGCCCGCUUGGUGUUACAAGAUCUUAGUGAUCUUGUUGUGCCGAAGCGAAGGCGAUAAGCGGGCCACCUGGGGAGUACGACCGCAAGGUUGAAACUUAAGGGAGUUGGCGGGGGAGCACUACCAGGGGUGGAGGCUGCGGUUCAAUUGGAUUCAACGCCGGGAACCUCACCAGCAAAGACAGCAGGAUGAGGGUCACUCUGAAGGGGUUACCUGACAAGCUGAGAAGAGCUGCAUGGCCGUCGUCAGUUCGUGGUGUGAACUGUCCUGUUAAGUCAGGAAACGAACGAGACCCACGCUGCUAGUUGCUAAUGCUCUGUACGCAGAGCAUGCACUCUAGCGGGACCGCUGGUGCUAAAUCAGAGGAAGGAGUGGGCGACGGCAGGUCAGUAUGGCCUGAAUUUGCUUGGCUACACGCGGCCUACAAUGCUUAGGACAAUGGGAUGCGACUCCGUAAGGAGAAGCCAAUCUCCUAAACCUAGGCCUAGUUCGGAUCGAGGGCUGCAACUCGCCCUCGUGAAGCCGGAAUCCCUAGUAAGCGAAGGUCAUCAUCUUUCGCUGAAUACGUCCCUGCUCCUUGCACACACCGCCCGUCAAGCCAACCGAAUGGGGUUUUGGUGAAACUUGUGAUGAACAAUUUGAACCAGAACUCUGUAAGGAGGGCUAAGUCGUAACAAGGUAGCCGUACGGGAACGUGCGGCUG
rnacentral:rRNA from 1 species